AGAACUCACUCCUGAGUGCAAAGGCAAUGUCAGGCACGCUGGUAAAGGACCACUAGAAUCCAGCAGCCCAGACCCCUUUCUUUGUGGUCAAGAAGGGCAGGAAAACAGGUGCAGGACUGCUACAUCGGGAAAGGAAGAAAAUCCUACUGCCUUUCUGGAGAGACUAAGGGAGGCAUUGAGGAAGCAUACCUCUCUGUCAUCUGGAUCUAUUGAAGGCCAACUAAUCUUAAAGGGCAUUGGAACCUUGAAAAGACAAAUAAGCUUUGCCUUCCUUCCUAGUUCAUUAUGAACAAACUAUCAACAAAAACCAUCCUGUUCAGCCAGUUUCUCAGAGCAACCAUGGGAGUCACAGCAGUUCUUCUGUCACCAUGAAGGGGAUCUGCUCAGACGCCAUCCUUGUUCUAGCUACCUCCAUGUGGAUGGCCUUUGCAAUUGACUUCCCCCUUCCUAUGGCCUCUGAAAGAGGUCAGCUAGACAAAACAAUAGUUGAAUGCCUCAAGAAUGUAAAUAAGUGCUGGUUUUUAUCCUACAUCAAGCCCAGUGAACCUAUUUGUGGCAGUGACCAGGUUACCUACAGUAGUGACUGCCAUCUGUGCUCCAAAAUUCUAUUUGAAGGGCUUAACAUAACUAAACUGUAUGAUGGACAAUGUGUUAUAGUCCAAAGCAAGAACUCAGCUGAAGCCAUAGAGAUCAUUAUUGCAUUAUGAGGCGUGGCAACAAGACUGGGAGAAAUCAAUGUAGAAGAGAAAAUAAAGACAGUAGGAGGUAAAGCAGGAAAACUCUUGAACGUACGACAAAGAAUUAUAAAACCUACUGAAUCUCCAGAUUGCCAAGUGAAACACAAUGGUUGCCUCUUCAAAUAUAUCCCCUUUAAUUACUAAUGGUUGGAUCAAACUCGUUGAUUUAUGUCUUCAAUAAAUGAUUCUUAGCAGAAAA